rnacentral:rRNA from 1 species
CUAAAACGUCCGUAGCCGGUCUGAUACAUUCGUGGGUAAAUCAACCAGCUCAACUGGUUGAAUUCUGCGAGGACGGUCAGACUUGGGACCGGGAGAGGUGUGGGGUACGCUCAGGGUAGGGGUAAAAUCCUGUCAUCCUGAGCGGACCACCUGUUGCGAAGGCGCCACACUAGAACGGAUCCGACGGUCAGGGACGAAGCCUAGGGGCACGAACCGGAUUAGAUACCCGGGUAGUCCUAGGUGUAAACGCUGUGGACUUGAUGUUGGGGGUGCUCCGAGCACUCUCAGUGUCGAAGCGAAGGUGAUAAGUCCACUGCCUGGGAAGUACGGUCGCAAGGCUGAAACUUAAAGGAAUUGGCGGGG